AUUGAACGCUGGCGGCAGGCCUAACACAUGCAAGUCGAGCGAGCGGCGGACGGGUGAGUAAUGUCUGGGAAACUGCCUGAUGGAGGGGGAUAACUACUGGAAACGGUAGCUAAUACCGCAUACCAUCAGAUGUGCCCCGCUGGGAUUAGCUAGUAGGUGUGGUAAAGGCCUACCAAGGCGACGAUCCGUAACUGGUCUGAAAGGAUGAUCAUGCACACUGGAACUGAGACACGGUCCAGACUCCUACGGGAGGCAGCAGUGGGGAAGAUUGGAAAAUGGGCGAAAGCCUGAUCCAGCCAGGCCGCGUGUGUGAAGAAGGUCUUCGGAUUGUAAAGCACUUUAAGUUGGGAGGCGUUACCAACAGAAUAAGCACCGGCUAACUUCGUGCCAGCAGCCGCGGUAAUAC
rnacentral:rRNA from 1 species